GGGUUUGAUCCUGGCUCAGAACGAACGUUAGCGGUGUGGAUAAGGCAUGCAAGUCGUGCGCGAAAGCCUUCGGGCGAGUAAAGCGGCGAACGGGUGAGUAACACGUAAUCAACCUACCCCUCAGAUCGGGAUAACUGCUGGAAACGGCAGGUAAUACCGAAUGGUCCCAAAUGGCGGCAUCGUCAUAUGGGUAAAUGGCGGCUUCGGCUGUUGUUGAGGGAGGGGAUUGCGGACUAUUAGCUUGUUGGUGGGGUAAUGGCCUACCAAGGCGAUGAUGGUUAGCCGGUCUGAGAGGACGACCGGUCACACUGGGACUGAGACACUGCCCAGACUCCUACGGGAGGCUGCAGUCGAGAAUCAUUGUCAAUGCACGAAAGUGUGAACAUGCGACGCCGCGUGGAGGAAGACGGCCUUUGGGUUGUAAACUCCUGUCAGCAGGGAGUAAGGAUGGUAUAUUUAAUAUGUAUGCCAUUUGAUAGUACCUGCAGAGGAAGUCACGGCUAACUCUGUGCCAGCAGCCGCGGUAAUACAGAGGUGGCAAACGUUGUUCGGAUUUACUGGGCGUAAAGGGUCCGCAGGCGGUCUUGUGUGUCAGAUGUGAAAGCCCACGGCUUAACCGUGGAAUUGCAUUUGAAACUGCAAGACUAGAGUACUGGAGGGGAGAAGGGAACACUUGGUGUAGCGGUGAAAUGCGUAGAUAUCAAGUGGAACACCGGUGGCGAAGGCGCUUCUCUGGACAGAUACUGACGCUCAUGGACGAAAGUUAGGGUAGCGAAAGGGAUUAGAUACCCCUGUAGUCCUAACCGUAAACGGUGUGCGCUAGGCGUGGGUGGCUUUACCCCCAUCCGUGCCUGAGCUAACGCAUUAAGUGUACCGCCUGGGGAGUACGGUCGCAAGAUUAAAACUCAAAGGAAUUGACGGGGGCCCG
rnacentral:rRNA from 1 species